rnacentral:ncRNA from 5 species
UUCUUAUCAAGAGAAGCCGAGGGACUGGCCCGACGACGCUUCAGCAACCGGUGUAGUGGUUUACCCAAACCAUGACCAAGGUGCUAAAUCCAGCAAGCUAAAAACAGCUUGGAAGAUAAGAA